CAUGCAAGUCGUGGGGCAGCAGGGGUAGCAAUACCCGCUGGCGACCGGCAAACGGGUGCGGAACACGUACGCAACCUUCCUUUAACUGGAGAAUAGCCCCUCGAAAGAGGGAUUAAUACUCCGUAACAUAUACAUGUGGCAUCACAAGUAUAUUAUAGCUCCGGCGGUUAAAGAUGGGCGUGCGCCUGAUUAGAUAGUUGGCGGGGUAACGGCCCACCAAGUCUGCGAUCAGUAACUGGUGUGAGAGCACGACCAGUCACACGGGCACUGAGACACGGGCCCGACUCCUACGGGAGGCAGCAGUAAGGAAUAUUGGUCAAUGGACGCAAGUCUGAACCAGCCAUGCCGCGUGGAGGAUUAAGGCCCUCUGGGUUGUAAACUCCUUUUAUCUGGGAAGAAAUGCAUUUUUUCUAAAGUGCUUGACGGUACCAGAGGAAUAAGCACCGGCUAACUCCGUGCCAGCAGCCGCGGUAAUACGGAGGGUGCAAGCGUUAUCCGGAUUCACUGGGUUUAAAGGGUGCGUAGGCGGGCAGGUAAGUCCGUGGUGAAAUCUCUGAGCUUAACUCAGAAACUGCCAUGGAUACUAUUUGUCUUGAACAUUGUGGAGGUAAGCGGAAUAUGUCAUGUAGCGGUGA
rnacentral:rRNA from 1 species